rnacentral:rRNA from 1 species
CAGCAGCCGCGGUAAUUCCAGCUCCAAUAGCGUAUAUUAAAGUUGUUGCAGUUAAAAAGCUCGUAGUUGAACCUUGGGCCUGGCUGGCCGGUCCGCCUCACCGUGUGUACUGGUCCGGCCGGGCCUUUCCUUCUGGGGAGCCGCAUGCCCUUCACUGGGCGUGNCGGGGAACCAGGACUUUUACUUUGAAAAAAUUAGAGUGUUCAAAGCAGGCCUUUGCUCGAAUACAUUAGCAUGGAUAAUAGAAUAGGACGUCGCGGUCCUAUUUUGUUGGUUUCUAGGACCGCCGUAAUGAUUAAUAGGGAUAGUCGGGGGCAUCCGUAUUCAAUUGUCAGAGGUGAAAUUCUUGGAUUUAUUGAAGACGAACUACUGCGAAAGCAUUUGCCAAGGAUGUUUUCAUUAAUCAGUGAACGAAAGUUAGGGGAUCGAAGACGAUCAGAUACCGUCGUAGUCUUAACCAUAAACUAUGCCGACUAGGGAUCGGUGGAUGUUUCUAUAUUGACUCCAUCGGCACCUUACGAGAAAUCAAAGUUUUUGGGUUCUGGGGGGAGUAUGGUCGCAA